UAUCUUAAAAGCCCAGUCUGCACAAAGGGAGGCCCCAAAUAAGUGACUACAAGGCUUUGUCCUUAGGGUGUUCCCUCUAAUGUUUUAAGAGCAAGUUGGAUGGCCGGGAGUGGUGGCUCAUGCCUGUAAUCCCAGCACUUUGGGAGGCUGAGGCGGGCAGAUCACUUGUGCCCAGGAGUUCAGGACCAGCCUGGGCAUGCAACAUGGAGAAACCCUGUCUCUACUAAAAAUACAAACAUUAGCAGGCUAAGGUGGUGCACACCUGUAGUCCCAGCUACUUGGGAGGCUGAGGUAAGAGGAUGACCUAAGCCUGGGAUGCAGAGGUUGCAGUGAGCUGAGAUGGCACCACUGCACUCGAGCCUGGGCCACAGAGUGAGACUCUCUGUCUCAAAAAAAAAAAAAAAAAAAAAAAAGAGCAAGUUGGAGGGAGACAGAGAAAAAACUGGUUUGCAUGUGCUGAUGACAAGGAGGUGGGAGAUGAAGUUCACAGACUCAAAAUUAUUGCAACAGCCUAGACAGCUUGGCCCAAACCAAAAAAGAUAACAUUGAACAGGGCCAAAUGCAAAGGCCUAUAUUUAGGCGAAAACAUGAAAAAAGCAAGAAUCACAGGAAGGUAAAGGAUUCAGAGAACAAAGACUUAGGGAAAAGGGGCGAAGAAACUGGGAGGUUUUGCCUGAGGAAUGAAGACAUCAGGCUGGUGUUUCCAAAUACCUGAAGGCCUGUGGUGUAGGACACAGGGAAAGCAAAAAACAUUCCAGCUGCUGAUGAAUACCCAGCUAGGGCCAACGGACGGGUGCUAGAAUAGGGGCAGAUGGAUUCUGCAACAAUGAUAACAGCUAACAGUGAUGACCAACAAUGGACUGGACAGCCUCAGGAAGUACUGAGCUCUCUGUUACCAGGUGUUCCAACUGUGUGGGACCAAUGCUUGCUGGAGAUGCUGCAGAGGCCUCAGUGCCCAGUGUCAAGCAGGCUAAGAAAGCCUUUACAGCAGCUUCAGGUACCCAGCCAUCUGGACUCAACCAAUGAUCACCUGGAACUU
rnacentral:lncRNA from 1 species